GUGGCUGCAUUGGUUGUUGCAAUGGUUGAUGACCAUGCAGAGGAGGAUACUGUGAUGAAGGGUAGUAUCCUCCUGAUGCUGGUGGAGGUGGAGGUGGAGGUGGAUAUGAUGAGUCUGGUGGUGGUGGUGGAGGUGGUUGUUGAUAUGGAUAUUGUUGGUGAGGUGGCGGUGGUGGUGGUGGAGGAUAAUGUUGUGAGAAUUUUUGCUGGUUAGGAAUUUGCAUUUGAUUGUAUUGAUUAGGUCUUUGCUGCUGCUGCUGCUGUUGUGGUGGUGGUGGUGGUGGUGGUGGUGGUAGUGUGGAUUGUGAAGGAAACUGCCUAUAAGAGGCCAUUGUAGACCGGAACGCAAAAACCUCAAAAUUAAAAAUCUAAUUUUUAAUUCCUAUAUAGACAGAUAACUCAAUUGCUCAAUUCCGGGUUUUCUUUAUUGAGCUUUUUUCUUGCAAAACUAAUCAAAGAAACCCAAUGACAACAAAUAGAAGUUUUUUCUAUACCCAAUUCUUGAUUUUGCAAAAUAACAGAGCUGGAACCUAGCUAAACAAAAGAAAACAGAAAGAGCUGAAUUCACACUACCCUUUUGCAGCCAUUAGCUAGCUUCAGCAGUAGUAGCAGAGACUAGAGAAAAUUCACACUCUAAAUCUUUAGCAAGAAGCUAGAGAAACCCUAAUUGAACCAUAAAAAUUGAAGCUUUUGAAUAGAUUUAAGAUUACAAAGAAAGAUUCGGGUGAUAGGUUAUCUAAUGAGAUUUGCAUGUAUUUAUACAUGUAUAUAUACAUAGAGAAAGAGAGACUGAGCACACAAAUCUGCGUGCUUUAGAUUCUUUUACAGAUUUCAAUUUCUGAUUGAAUAUAAUGCAAUUCUGGAUUUUUAAUAAGUUUUAUGAAAUAUAUCGGGAAAUCUCGGCUAACUCAUUGUUGUAAUUUCCUUUUUCUUUUCUUUUUCCUUUUUUGGGUUUUUACUUAGCAUGCAAAUGCUAGUCAUCAAAAUCUACUAGAUUUUGUUUCCUUUUUUCCUUUUAAUUUAGUUUUAUUUCCUAAAAUUUCCUUUUGAAUUAAAUGCAUCACCAGUGCUGUUAUUUUAUUUUAAUUAAUAAUACAGGAAAACAUUUAUAAAUAAAACUUAACUAAAUUUUUAAUAAUUUAUAAUAGUUUAUUAUAUUUCUUAGAAUAAUAAUUUAAAAACAUUAGUAUUCUAAAAUUUUAUUAAAUAUAAUAUAAUAUAAAAAUUAUUAUAAUAUAAAUACUACAUUAGUUAAUAUAAUAUUAAGAAUCUAAUUUAAAAUAUUAUAUAAAAAUUUAAAUAAAUUAUUAAUUUAUUAAUGUAUGUAGUAUUUAAAAUAUAAUUAAUUUUUAAACUUAUAAUAUUUAAUUAAAACUCACUUAUUCAAUAGUCAAUUAAUACACAUAAGUUAUAUAAGUUGAAUACUAUUGUUAUAAUUAAAUAUAUAUGUAAAAAGAAUCUAUAAAAUAAUAUAAAAUAUUAAGAAAGAUUUAUAUCUCAAUAAAUAAAUAAUCAAGUUCUGAGAAUUUUAUUUAUUUUUUGAUAGGGAUACUUUUUAGUUAUUUGGCAAUUAUGAUAAAAUAGUACCUAAAUAACAUUAUGAUAAAAGAAAUGGUACCCAUUCAACAAUUUUCUAAAGGAGUAUCCAAAUAACUAUUUAACCCACAAUAAGUAAUGUUACAAAGUAUUGGCAAGUAAAUCUGUUGACUAAUGGUAGUCAUUUUUGAAAUUUUGUAACAGCCAGUCAUGAUAAGGAUAGCACACAACAUGAUAAAACCAGUGGCUAAAAGGCUCAAAGGAAAAUCCCAUGAAUUAAAUGAAAUGGAUGCUAAAGAUGGUAUUUAAGAUCCAAAUCAUUAAAUGUUUACGACAAAGUUGAUAAGGAUAUCAGCUGUGAACAGAAAUCCAAAUCAUUAAACGUAACUAAGUCAAACUACUUUUCUUUUUGAAAAGAGUUAGUUGAGAUUCUCUAUUUACCUCUUAUCAUUUUUAUUUUUGUUUUUAUAAUAGUAUUUAUGUAUAUAUUUUAAUUUAAAUAAAAUUUUAAAUUUAAUUUUUUUCUAAUAAAUAUAAAGAUAUAUAAUAAAUAUUUUCUACAUUUAUAUUUUUCAGACUAAAUUAAUUUUAUUGUUAUGAGAAAGUUAUAAUUUUAUAUUUGUACAGUCAUAAAGAUUUGAUUUAACUUAUUUAUUUCAAUUACAAGUAGCAUAAAAAUAAAGCAUGCGCUAUUUUAAUCACUAGUUAGUCCAAUAUGUGAAAACCGAAUAUAUACAUAAAUAAAUAAUAUAAUUUAAAAAUUACAUUUAUAAAAGAGAUGGAUAAUUUUGAAAACAUUUCAAUUUAAAAGAAGAAAAAGUUGUUCAUGCACGGAUAAAUUUAAAGAUAUAAUAACUCCAAAGAUUAAAUCAUUGAACAAAUUACAUUAUAUGAAUAUUUUAUUUUUCUUUAAACCUUUCAUAUAGCAUAAUUAAUAUAUUAUAUAGAGAAAACUUUUUAAGAUAAAAUUUUAAAAAUUAUAACUUAUUACGGAUUCAAGUUAGAAUUAAUACUUUUAUAAUUACAUAAAAUUUAUUUUUAUAUAAAAUAAUUAUAAAAAAGUUUUUAAGUGUAACUAUCUCUAUUAUAGUUUAGAUGAAUUCGAGAAAGAGACAUCCUUAAAUGGUAAAAGCAACAGGAGAAGAAAAAGGACCAAAAGUGAAAACAAAAACAUAUGUGGGCGGGCUGAAAACUCAUUGUUUUGAAGUCCGAUCUGUUUUUGGUACGGACUUCUAAAUCCAUGUAAAUUCGGCAUUUGUUAAUAGUUUCAGGUCCGGCCCCUUUAUUUAAACAGCAAUUAUGUGUAAAGGAGUGGAAUCAGAGAGGAGAAGUUUGGGAAAAUGCUUUGUCCGAAUUAGUUUAGGCCCAAUAUUACGCCGGAAUUUUAUUUUAUUUUCCACACAAGUGGGGAGGUGAGCAAAAUACUAAAAAAAAAAACCUGAAAACCAAACCAAAACAAGCCGGUUUUAUUUAGCUCGGUUUGGUUAAUUUCUUUUGUAAAUUCAAUUUAUUCGGUUUAAAUUUCUUUAAAUUUAAAAUUAUAUCGGUUCGUUUUGACUAAUAUCAAAAAAUUCAGUUUGACUGAAAUAAUCGAUUGUUUUAAUUAUUUACUAAAUUUAUUAUUAUUUUUUUAUUUAAUUCUCAAAGUAAUUAUAGGUUUAGAUUAAUUAUUAUAAUUUACCCUUUUAUUUGUUCGGCUCAUUUUUUAAAAUUGAUUCGAUUUAUUUAGCAAAGUUGGUUCAAUUUGAUCUUGAAUCGAACUGACCGAAUGCUCACCCCUACAAGUAACAUCAGUGGUUUCAAUUCUCAGCAACCAUAGAGAAAACUAUCUCUCGAAAAAGGUUUAAAGAUGAGUUUAAGAUAUCAAGGAACACAAUUAAUAAACGAUAAUGAGAGAUGUAAAACUAAAUUCUAACAGUAUAAUAAAUAGAUUAUCAGAAUAUAUAUGUAAUACUAAUGAAAGUACAAAAGAACAACAAUAAUAGAAGAUUUCAUCAUAUAACUAAUGUGUGUUAUAAAUAUGAGAAUAUAAAUAAACUUUGUGUAUUGUAAAUAUGAGAAUAGAAAGAAACUUACUUGAAGAAACGAGAAUCAUUUGGAUCAGCCUCCAUUCUUGUAAGAUAGGUGAAAGGGAAAGGUUAGAGCUUUCUCUAGAAUGAGAAUUUAGGUUUUUCUCUUACUUACAAAAUGAAAGUAGAGUGGGCUAUUUAAGAACGAAGUAUUUUGUUUGUAUUAUCUUUUGUAUUAAAAUUUAUGUAAAUCAAAAUCCAAGGGUUGGUUAAAAGCUUUUUUAUGUCAGUAAAAGUUUUUCUCAAUAGUAUUUCAAUGGUUAAGUAGUUGAAAUUCAUUAGGUUUUUGAGGUUCUUCAAAUAACUUAAGGAUCUAUUUGAAUAUUAUCAAUAACUGUGUGCGCGUGUAAUUAAUUUAUUAAUAAAAAUGACAUAUUACUCUCAGAUUCUCUCAUAAUGAUACAACACUUACAAUGGUAAAAAAUAACUCUGAGACAGAACAAUACAGAUUUUAUCACUGUCAUCUGUCUAAUUAUGAAUUAGGGUGUCUGACGAGUGGAUACAGUUUCCUUUUCUACUUUUUACAAGUCUAAUUUUAAAAUUUUCUAACCAUUUAAUGCCUUAAUUGUUUUCUAAUAGAUUCACACAUUUGACGUCACGUGAUUUUAAAAGACUAAAAGAAAAAGAUAAAUAUUGCAUGAAAUUCACAUGUCACUAAUUAUAUGCACAUGUCAGUCAAUAAGAAAUUUAUAAAACUCUCUUAUACCGUAACGACAGAGCAAGAUAUAUAUUGUAAAUUGCUAUAUGCAGCUUUUCUUUAUGAAUUCUAGUUUCAUGCAUUUAAAAUUAUGUGAUCAUCAAUUAUUUUAGUUGCUUUUCUAAUGGAGAUGUAUGAAUGUUACCAGUUGAGUAUGAAAUAUCCAAAAGUUUUUCUUUAUAUACUGCAGGGGAUUUGUAUGGCAAUAAUGAUAUGCACACACUAUUGACAUAGUUAAUUUUUCAUUAAAGAUGAAGGAUUGAGAAGAUAGAUUAAUAUCAUAAUGAUAGAUGGCUUGAAAUAAUUAACAAUAGGAACGACAAUAAGGUGAGGCAAGUAACUCAUUAGGAUUUUAGGUAAGUUUGAGAUGCAGUUUCAGUCAUUCUCUUUGUUCCUCAUAAAAUGAUGAAUGGUGUAAGCCAUCAAUGGGAUGAUUGUGCCACUAUGCAAGAGUCGCAAACCAACAUUCUCCACAAAACCUCACUUUUCUCUUCAUUUCCUAAGGUUUUUACCCAUUAAUAUGCUCAUAAAGGAGUGGAAACAAGUGGAGAAGUUUGGCAAAAUGCUCUGUCUCGAAUUAGUUUAGGCCCAAUAUUACUCUGGAAUGGGUUUAUAUUUUUAUAUUUUUUUUGGAAAUUUUUUAAAAAUAUUUUAAAAUUAAUAAAAAAUAUUAUUUUUAUUAUGUAAAUUUUUUUUUUUCAAAAAUAUUGCGUGGUUGUUUUUUUGGUUUUUCGUUGGUUGUUUUAUCAAAAAACAUAAAAAAAAUAAAAUUAAAAAAACAACCAGUACCUUAUAUCUAAAAAAAAAUAAAUUAUAUUCUUAAUAUUUUCACACAGUAACAAUAUAUUUUCUCCCUUUCUUGGGUUUACUUACACAAGUAACAAAAACAUCAUUAGUUUCAAUUCUGAGCAACUCUGGACAAAAUCUUUGUUUGUUUAUUUAUUUAUUUAUUUUGGUGUUAUUGGCAAUCGGUUCCGGCCACUAGUAUAAUCAACAACCAAUGCCGGUAACUACGGCAUACUGAAUUCUUUUAUAAUUUUAUUAUUUUUAGUCUAUUUUGUUUAUAUCUUAUUAUAAACUAUAAAUAUAAAUUCUUGAUAAAUUUGAAUAUUUUGAUAUUUUUGUUACAAAAAAUAUAAAAGAUAUAUUUAUCAUAAUAUUUUGUACAUAACCAAAUAGCAGAAAUUUUUUGAUUUAAAAAAAUAAUUUUAAAAGCAAAUGGAGACUUAAUAGUAUAUUGAAGAUAGAAAAAGUAUCCAUGCGUAUGACUUACUUUUCUCUAUUUUAGUUCACAAUAGUGAUAUAUAUAAGAUAAGCCCAAUUUGAUUAUAUUUUUCUAGUAAAAUCAAUUUAGCAAAAUUGCAAUAUUGUAUCCUAUGAAAAUUAUGAGCGUUUAUCUAAAGAUUGCAUUGAGAAAGAAAGAAAAAAAGAAGAAGAAGAAAAUGAUGUCUUAAUUAGUCACCUUUUCAUCUUUUAAAUGCAUAGAUAAUUUUCUUUCCAUAAACAUAUUUGUGUAAUAGAUGAGGAACAUAAUUAAUCUACGAUAAUGAGAUGUAAAUUUAAAUUCUAAUAAUAUAACAAAUAGAUUAUGAAUAUAUAUAUAUGCUAUAUACUAAUGAAAGUUCAAAAAUGAUAACAAUAAUAGAAGAUUUCAUCAUAUGAUUAAUGUGUGUAGUAAAUGUCAGAAUGGAAAGCUUAAAAAUAUAUUAGAAUCAUUAGGUUCAGCCUCCGUUCUUUCAAGAUGGUGAAGGGGAAAGCUUAGAGCUUUCUAUUGGAUCAGAAUUUUGGUCUUUUUCCUACUUAUAAAUAUGGAAGUAACUAUUUAUAAAUGAAGUGUUUUACUUUUAUUAUCUUUUGUAUGGUUAUCAUUUUUUGAUUUUACCAAUAUAUUUUGCAAUUAUAAAAAAUUUUGUAUUUCUCAUAAAUCAGUCAAUUUUUUCUUAAAUUAUUAAAUUUCACACAAGUAAUCAUUUUUUUCAUAAUAUAAUUUAUUUUUUUGCAAUUAAUAAUACUUACAAAAAGUUAGUAUAAUUUACGAAAUAUACGGAAAUGAUUGUCAUUUUUUAUAAAUUAUUAAUUAUUUUUAUAAUUAUAAAAUUAUAAAAGGUUUAACAUGUUGCUAAUUAUUGUUACUUAUAAAAUUUGAAGAAUAAAAUUUAAAGUAAUUAAAAAUUAAUAGUAUUUUAUUUUAAAUAAAAACACCCUAAAAAGCAUUAUAUAUAUAUGAGAAUAUCAUAAAAUAUCUUAAGUAUAGUGUUUUAUACAUAACAAAAUAGUAUUAUUAAGUUUUUUUUUUUAAAAAAAAAAGAAAAGAAAAGCAAAUGGAGCCUUGAAAAUAUAUCGAAACAAGAUAGAAGAAAAUGCAUGCGUAGGGCCUACUUUUCUCCAUUUUAGUUCUCAACAGAGAUAUAAUAUAAGUCGAUGCUAGCUCUAUUUAAUGAGAUUUUCCUAGUAAAUCAAUUUAGAAAAAUUUCAAUGAUAUAUUAUGAAAAGUAUGAGCAUUUUAUCUAAAGAUUGCAUUAAAAAAGAAAGAAAGAAAGAGAGAGAAAGUGAUAUGUUAGUCAUGUCUCAUCUUUGAAACACAAUAGAAGAGCAACAUAAUUAAUGAAAGAUAAUGAGAGAUGUAAAUUUUAUCAUAUAAGUAAAAUGUGAUGUAAAUAUGAAGUUACUUAAAGAAAUGAAAAUUAUUUGGAUCAGCCUCCAUUAUCUUAAUAUGGUAAAGGGGGAAAAUUUAGAGCUUUCUCUUGAAUUAAAAUUUAAAUUUUUUUCUCACCUAUGAAAUGGAAGUAGAGUGAUUAUUUGAGAAUGAAUUGUUUUAUUUGUAUUAAGAGUUGUAUAAAAUCAAAAUCCAAGGUUUGGUUUUGUGAUUUUAUUUCAAUAAAAGUCUUUCUUACUAGUACUUGAAUAGUUAAGUAUUUGAAGUUGUUUAGAUUUUAAAAUUCUUCAAAUAAAUAUAUUUCAAUAUUAUCAAUAAUUAUAUGCACGUAAAUUUAAUUUACUAAUAAAAAUAAUAUAUUAUUCUUAAAUUUUCUCAUAAUAAUACAAAACUUACAAUAGCAAAAAACCACAACGUCUAUCUGAUUAAUUAUAAUUUAGGGUAUCUGGUGAGUGAAUACCGUUUCUUUUUUUAUUUUUCAUAAGUCUAAAUUUAAGAUUUUUCUAACUAUUAGAUGCUCUAGUUGUUCUUUAAUAGAUUUGUAUGCUUAUAGAUUAAGAAGAUAGAUUAAUUUCAUGAAACGUAACUAAGACCGAGAAGCACUGCAGUAAUUUUUUAAAAAGAUGAUGUGUCACUAUUCUAUUGGUUCGGUCAUUGAAUUUUUAAGUGACAUAUGAUGAAUAGUGUAAGCGACCAAUGAGAUGAUUGUAUAGGUAUGCAAGAGUCACAGACAAACAUUCUCCAACCUUAUUUUCCUCUUUUAUUUCCUUAGUUUUUACCCAUAAAAGAACAUAACACAACAUACAACAAAUGUGUGUUCGUUUGGUGGGAAUCAAUAAUAUGAAAUAAAUGACACGAGUAUCUGUAGCAUUCACCUUCCCUGCUUGUAGUGGAGAAAAAGUACUCUGAUGAGAUUUUCAUUUCUAAAAAGAAAUAAAAGCCAUCAUAUAAUUUUAUUUAAAUUUUUUUUUUAACUAAUGAAUUAUAACGAAAUAAAUUCAUAUGACAUAAAUGUCUUCCUUGCUAAGGAAUUACUGACAAAGAAUGGACUUCAAAUGAAUAUUUAUUUAUUUUUUUCACACAUCAUUUGAAUAACAGUUAAAACUUCUUGCAAAAUAAGUAAAUAAUAAUUCAGUGAGCUAGCAUGUGGGUUUCUUACAUUUCAUUAAUCUAUAUAUCACACUUGCUAGCUUGCUGUGUUGCUUAAGAGGUGAAAUUGGGCUGUAAUCAGCUUUUUCUGAACUAGCCUACUUAGAUACAGUCGGGCCUCUUUGCUCAAGGAAUUGCAGAUUUCUACUCUCACUUGCUUUUUAUUCGAGUGGGAGAAGGUAAUAGAAAUAAGUAAUAAUUGUUGUCCCAAGAGAAAGCAUAGUAAAAUCUGUAAAAGGAGUUUAAUAAGUAGCAAAAAAAUUUGCACAUCACUUCCAUUCAAUACAUAGCUUAUAAGUGAAACCAUACUGUAGCCCUGCUAAACCCAAUACAAACUCUUCCAUUUUACUGGUGGGUUAGUAGGCAGGCAGUAUCAAAAACAUUUUCAACUAUAUCCCCACGUCUCUUCCUUCUCCUACUAAUUUCUUACUUGCGGCGGCAUGCAGUCUCAGCAGGCCCGACUUGCCUUGCUAGCUGAAUUUUUAGAAUAGAAAUUUUAGUACCAGUACUUGCAUUUUUUCUUUCCUAAUGUAAGAAUUUCAUGAGAAACUACCUAAAGGAAAGCACCUGAAAAUAAGACUCGAGCUUCUUCUUCAGAGUUGCAUACUCUUUCUUGAGUUGUUGGAAUGUCCUGGCGCACCUGCAUGUUUACAAGGAAAUCUAUCAAAACGUUGCAUAGUUUAUUUAUGGCAUCUAAAUGAGUUGCAUAUGGGAAAAAUGUCCAGAGUGGACCCAAAACAAUCUUGGGCGUUCGUUAGAAAAGAUUUUUAAGAACUAAAGUGGAAAAUGGAGGAUUACCCUUCUCCAUUUCCUGCUCUGCAAUAUUCUCUAAAGAGAGUGCACUCGGCCUUGACCUUUUUGGCUCCAAUGCUACACCCAAUAGACAAGAAAAGAGAUGAAAAGAUUGUUGUGUUAAAGCCAGCAUAGAAUAUACCUAAUGAUACCUUUAGUAAAUCUCAUUAUUAAUGCUCAUUUUGUUAAUACCUUGAACUACUUCCCUUGAAUUGAUGCAUAUGGCUAUCUAGCUUGUUAAAAUCAAGUGGAUGCCUCUCCCUGCAUAGAAACAACAAAGAUGCCACUAUCAAUACCCAUCAUUACCUGUACUUGUUUGGGUCAAAAAGAAUAAGAGAAGUGAAGAAAGAAAAGAAUUGUAAAAAGAAGGGGAAGUUUUGAACUAACAAUCCUUGCUCUAUGCUAAGGAUUAAUCUAGCUGAAUCCCUAUAGUACAAUGUGACAACUUCUUCCACAAAGUUAGGAUUAGCAUCAUCUUGGAGUUCCUCAAGCUGGAGAAAUUGUUCAUCAAGAAAUCCCUGAAAAAUGGUCCCCUUUUUUAGACUUCCAUCACAAGCAUUAAAGUAAAAUAAUUAAAGAGGGAAACUAGCUGGGAAUGAACAUAAACACUCAUUAAAACAUGUUAUAAAGUACUUAUUUUCUUAUUUCCCAUAUCUACAGUCUCUCAAAAGUGUGCAUUUUCUCUUUUUCUCUAAUCAGAAAAUCCUAUGACCCACCCUGUCAUGCAUUACAAAAGUCACAUGGUAACUUGGAUAGUAGAGGCAGCCACCUACAGACCAAGGAUACUGAAAAGAACACAAAUUUGCACUAACUAGUUUUUGAAUUCAUAUGCGACAUGUACCAUGUCCUAGACUUGUAUCUGUGCUAUUAGACCAACCACUGUGGGUUUGCCUGCAUUUUCCCUGGAUGCUGCUGGCUAUCUCAGAUGAACAAAGCGAUCUAAAAAGAUUUUCAUUGAGGAAACUUGAGAUCAUGCAGAGAGAUGUUGUAAGCUAAUAUAAAAACUAAAGACGACUAUAACUUGCUGCUCAAACUUUAUGUGCGAGAUAUAUUUGGCUAAUAGCAUUCAUUGACAGUCAGUAAUUUUAAAAGUGAAGACCUGAUCAAAAAGAGACUGCCUUGCGAGAGCAACCUGCCUAUGCAACUUGUUUCUUUCCAUUAUUUGAGAAAGGAUAUUGGACAAACCAAUGGGAGAGAGAGAGAGAGAGAGAGAGAGAGAGAGAGAGAGAGAGAGAACACCUACAAAGUUAAAAUGAUAUUGCAAUAUGGCAAGGGCUUUAUAUAGUAGAGAAGGGAGAGACUGUUUACCAACUUUCUACAUAAAGAGCAAGAACUGUGAAGAGAAUAAGUGGUUUCACCAUACAAGCAGACAAGUCUAGCGUGAAGGAGAAAAGAGAGAUUUUAGUAUCUCAGCAAUGUUAAUGCGGGUAUUGAAGUGUAUGAAUUCUGAUUCCAUCAUAUAAAAAAGUAUCUAAUUUCUUUAUUACUUACAUCAAAUCUUAAAGAAAAAAAAUACAUGCAGAUUCUUAUAUGUGCUCAUUUCCUUUAGUGCAAUGGUUUUCUUUUUCUUUUUUUGUCUGUGGGCUAUAAUAACCUGCAAGGUUCUGUCACUACUUCUAAUUAACAAUGAGAGUGAACAAAUUUACCACCAACUCAAUUUGCAUGUUCUUAUACAUACACCUUGAGAAGUUUCUAUCCCCAUCACCUUAUUGUUCUUCUUGGUACUACGACUGAGCUGUAAUUAGCUCUGACUUUUAUCUUUUCAACUAAUUUCACCCACUUUCUUCAUCCUCACUCCACAAAUUGCUAGAUAUUUUUGCAUGCCUACACACAUAUAUUCUCUGUGCCCUUUACUUUUACGCUUCUUAUAAAUGUGCUCUAAAUGAUUAUCUUCAAAGAAGCCAAGAACUUCCAAACUUGAAUAUAGAUAUAUUCUGCUUCUGUUUAACGAUGUUACUUCGACCAACUAUGUUAUUAAUCUUAAUGGGCAUCUCAUGAGGCAAAGAAUUUAUCCAAAGAUAGGGGAAAGCUAACUAGCAUAUGUAACUAGCCAAAUCCAAAAGAUUGAAAUUCAUUCUUAUUACCGAUUGAUGGAUGUUGUCAAAUCAAAUGAUAUUACUGUUAGGACAUCAAAUGAAUUUGUUAAUAAUAAUUGUAUUUCAGAAGCCGAGUUUUAGACCUGAUUCUAUAAGUUAAUGGUUGAUAAUUAAUAUAUGAUUGUCAGAUUUUGUUCUUAGUAGAUUACAAUGGCUGUAAAAGGUAUCAAAUUUACCGUGGAAAAGAAACCACUGCCUAAAUAUAUCAAUCGGGUAAAUAAUUAGCUUCUAACAAAAAUAAAAACAAAAGGGCAAAAUGAGAUCAGGACAAAGGGAAAGUGGACAAAUUUGAUUCUGUGAAAAGACCAUGUACGGACAAGCUUUUAUACUAUCAGUUCCUAAUAUGCUUUCUUUACAGAUAUAGUAUAUAAAGAUAUUGUUUAAAAAUGCUAUUUAUAAUGAAUAAAGGGUGUUUCUAUUUACCCUUUCUUUUCAUACAUAUGUCCAACGUACCUACCUGAAACUAUUGUACAGGCAGUGGCAUUGUUCUUCACUCUCACAUGCAUAUAAAGUAUACUAUAAACCCAAAUGAAAUGACAAUUCAAGUGAGAGGAUAGGAGUACGAUGCUGUCCUAUUCAAUAAUUAUUUCAUUUGGGUUUCAACAUCUUUCAUAAAAAAAUAUGAACAUUUUGGCAAGUGAGUUGAAGAAAGAAAAAGAAAGAGAUAAUUAUAAGAAAAACCUUCAUAAUUGCAUGGAAAUAUUGAUUUCGAUUCAACAUUGAAGUAACAACCAAUUAUUCUCAGCAUCAAUCAAGAAGGGUCCCGUAUAUGAUGUCGUUUAGUUCUUGCAUGAUUGACAGAAUGACUAAUGAUGUGAAUACGACGUCAUUUCACUUAAAAGUAGUGCAAUGCCCAAAUAUUUUUCACACAACAUAAGUCAAACCCUCCUUUAAUUUUUUACCAAACCUCAGGGGUCACGUGCCAGCAGGGAGUUAAGAUGAAGCUCACGUGUCUCUGAGAAUGUGUUGCGUAUAGCAUCGUUGCAUUAGUAUUGCAGUUUAUGUAACUCAGAGUCCAGUGCAAUUUUGUAUAUUAAAAAGAGGGCUUUUUCCAGAAUGCACAACCUGCUACAGUGGAUGGACAAAAGAUAAUCUUCUAACCUGUUAAAAUAAGCUAUCAAGUUUCCCCACCCAUCCUUUCUAUUUUUGUUACCUAUUUAGUAAGUUGUAGGUAAUAGAUUUUAGUGGUUAAGAUUAAUAGUUUAAAAUCUAAUGGUUAUAAUCUAAAAAGUGUAGAUUAGACCAAAUGCAUACUAGAAAAAGCCUAAAAAUGAAACCUAAUUUAAUACCAUCCCUCCAAAAAAAAAAAAAACAAGAACAAAAGAAGGAAACAAUGAAGUCUAUCACAAAAAGGAAAAAAAAUAGAGUUCUGUUUUUAACUAAUUAUAGCAAUAAGAUCAACUGAAAAGUGACUAGGUAAAUGAACUGUUACAACUGACCAAAGUCACAAGUUCAUGCAAUUAGAGGUAAUUAUAAGUUACCAUGCCCAUAUUAGUUCAUAAGAAUUGGGAAAGAAAAGAAUACAACAAUGGGAGACACUUUCCUAGUUUUGGUGUAUAAAUCAAUUAAUAUUUGACAAGCAGUUAAGUCAGAAAAGUUUUAUCUUUAUAAUAUUACCAGAUUUAUAUCAAAUAUUCAUUGUUUGGUGUAUAAGAGAGACAUAGAUGGAGAAUAGGCAAGUACUUCCUGCAAUAGUAUUGCAAACCAACACACUUCAUUUGGCUCCCAAACAGAGAACACUAGAAAAGAAUAUCUGAGAAAAAAAUUACUAAAGUUUUUCUUCUUAUACAGGAAAAAAUACUCAAGGGUUCAAGCUAUGAUCUAUACAUGUGGGUGGGACUUCAGUUUGAGCCCUCGGCCUCUUAAUAAAGGAGAAUUUUUCCUUGUUUAUUGAGUCUAGUGUUUUUUUUGUGAUUGUACGUCAUCAGCUUGCAUCUACAUGCUAACCACUAACCUAUUGAUGUAUAACAUUUGUUAAAAAAAAGAAAAAAAAUCUUUAAAGAGACUGGACAAUUAGGCCUGACUAUGGAACCGAACCGAAACCAGCAAGUUGGAUUCCUCCAGAAUUGGAACCGGAGUCAGAUCAUAGCUGGCCGGUUGGUUCCACUUCUAGUUUCAGACCAAUUUGAAAAGAAAAACCAGUACCUGGCAAGCUGCCAGCUAUUGUUUUUCAAAGGGUUCUAAACUGAAGCUGGUCUGGCAGUUCCUAUCCGGUCCUUGGGUGGAAUUGGAACGAGCUGGUUUCUCUCCUACUUUAAAACUGGAAUCAAAACUGGUUUCCGGUUCCAAAUCUAAACCAAACUGUGGUCAGGGCCAUGUACAAAUGAAAUGUUACUAGUAGCGGUUUUCAGGGUUUAUUUAAUUGUAUUGGUUUACUGACUCUCGGUUAUAGUCUAAGAAACUGCUUCUAAAUUGACAGGUCAUUAGUCAAGUAGAUGAAUAUGUAUUAAGCUAAAUGGAAUCUUGUUAUAAGGUUUCUUUUCAGGAAAAAGAAAAAGAAAAAUAAUUUGCUCAUUUAUUUAUGUGACAAAGAGCCAAUGAUAAGUAAAGAUAUAGUGGGUGGAGAAUAUAACAAGAGCAGACACUCCAGCAAGAGGAGAUUCGUAAGUGACCAAAAGAGGAAAAAAUUUUGGCCAAAAAAAUACAAUAAUGGACAAAUUCCCAAUGAUGAUUGACAUCAGAAUUCACCUUGCAGGCAAUGGUCAUGUCUUUCUCCAUUUCUGUCUACAAAUUUAGCAAGAUAUUAGAAGGGGAGAAGUGUUAAGAAAAGAUUCUCUCUUUAUUCCUCUGCCACAGCCAAGUGAGAGGAGACGAGAUGUUUUACAGUGCCACAACACAUUUUCUUUUGCAAAUGUUUGGUGUGGUCACAUCUGCUGCUUUAAUAAAAGAGAAAGAGUUUAAAAAAAGCUGAGGGUAUGGGUGGGUGGAGAGGGAUCAGAAUAUGAUUUUAUGUUGUUUUCUUGGCAUAGAUUGUGAUUCCCUUUUGCUAUCACUGUCUCCUAUGUUGAUAAGAAUCCCACCCUGGACAAUAAUCAAUCCCAGCUAGAAGUAUCAAGUUUUGCUUGUGAAUGAAAGUUAAUUAUUUAUCAAAUCACGGACAAAAUUACAUCAGCAAAUCAUUUAGACAUGCUAGUUUAGUUGUUACUUUUCCCUACCAAAAGAGUGAAAUAACGAGAUUUCUGUAUUAUUCUAACACUCGAAGUCAUCUCAAAUACUAGCCACCUCGGUGGAGUUCAAGGCUUGGGGACAUUUUAGGAUAAAAAAUUUGAGUUAUAGUAAUUACUAUGCCCCAUAUUACGUGAGCAAAGGAAUAGCAAGAGACAGAGAGAGACACAAAGGCAAAAAAAAGAGCAAAGACUAAAGUGUCUGUGACUGUAAUAACCUUGUUACUGCAACAAUAUAUAUUACAUAAACUAUAAUGAAAAACGUCAUAGCAUAGAUCUGAGACUAAUGAUUCCAUUAUAAAAAAAAAUGCGAUAUUUCCAUAAUAAGCAAUGCAAAUCUCAUUUAUUUAUUUGUUAGUUUCAUUCAACAAUAUAAUGCAGGAUAUACCAUGAGAUUAAAGUUUAGUUUAGUUGCAUAUGUGGUUUCAUAACAAAAUGCUAUUUUUAUCAAAUGAGUUAUAAGCUUUCGUUUUUAAUUAUCUCCAUUUCACAGAUGCAGUCUUGUCUAUAUUUAAAGCACGUAUCUAUGUGCCAAUCCAGAUAGAAUGCAGAAUUAGAAAAUUGGUACAAGUGCUUUGUGGCUUCCAACACGAAAAGAAAAGACAAUAAAUAUAAACUGAUAUACUCUUCUUUAAAUUCCGUCUCUAAAAUCACAGAGAAAAAAAUAAUAAUAUUUAGGCAGUCAUGUCAUUAUAAAAGUUUAUUCUAAUUCUAAAUGGUCACUAUUGCAAAUUAUUUGAUGAGAAUUAUUAUAAGAAUAGGUUCUUUUGUUAUUUGAAAGAGAAAUCUUACCCAGAAAACAGUUGCGGUCAAAAUCAAUGUGUCUCUAGCAUUAAGAGAAACACUUGUAAAAGAUCAGGGAGUUGAACUUCAAAAUUGUUGAUGUAACCUUAACACCCGAUGAACAACUGUCAAUGUUUGACAGUAAGGGUAUUACAUGAGGUUUGUGCAAUAUUAGUACAGGCAGAGGUAAAAAAAGCUAGUAGCUUUGGUGGCAAGAUAGUGCGUGGUGCAUGAGUUUGCAGUGCCAGUGUCUUUUAGUGAGAUGUUAGUUAAGGGUUGCCAUUUCAAAGAAUUAGCUGCUCGGCGGUCCUUCUCGAAAAGAAGUCACUUUUCCCUCAUCAAGGAUGUGCUUAUGCGAAUAAUCUAAAUACUUGUGGCAUUGAUGCAAUCAUGCAAGAAGUUAGCUUUCAUGUUGCUUUCUCACUAACCUUUUUGGAGAUAUUCUUCUUGCAGCAUCAAUUCUGCUCAUCUCCAUGUAAGAAUCCUAUUGCCUGGUAGACAUUAUUGAAAGCAGCAGCCCCACUAUAGACAGCUUUUGUUCAGUCUGCCAAAAUCUAUCCAAAUAAACUGAAUGAGACAGUGAUCCUAGUAUCAAUCCUGAAAAGUAAUAAACAAAUGACCAUAUAGCCACCAAAUUAGUGAUGACAGAACAUCAAAACAGGAAAAGUAAUGCUUGCAAACUUUUGAGAGAGGGAACCAUACUUUGCCAAGUGCACGGUGAUUGCAAAUGUUGGUGCUAAUAAUAUUGUUCAUUGAUUUUCUUCACCUAGAAGGUUGUUUCCAUGCUACAUUCAAAAGUAACAUGGAUGAGCAAGAUAGUUCUGUCAAGUAGGACACUACAAGCUUUAAACCAUCUAGAUGCAAUAUACUUCUGUGCGUGGAUAGGCAGAGCACCUAAACCAUAUAAUGCAUUCUGCCACGAGAGAAAAUCAACAAGAAACAAUGGGAUGGUUUCUUAGUGGGGUGUGGGGAAGUGUAUAAACAUAAUGCUAGAUGAGUAAACUAGAAAGUAACAGAAAGUCAUAAUGUGUUCAAGUUGAAGCUUGCAUUCCAUGACAUCUAUUUCCAUGAGAUGAUCCAACUUUGUUUUCCAGCUUCCAUUAAAUUUAAUUUACCCUUAGCAAUUAUGCAGCAUAAUUUUAACACCACAGCAGAAACAUAUUCUUCAAAUUAAAACAAAUUUGACAAAUGCAAAAAAGACUUAUAUACAAUGUUCCAGAAAUUUAAGUCCUUUGGAAUUUUCAUAAACUAAUUUAAAUGAGUAAACGGGACAGCGUUUGACUAAGGAUAACUGGUGUAAAAUGUAGUUCUGAAUACUACAAUUAAGUUUAAAAAAAAAGGAAGAACAAAAAUAUUUAAAUUUACAUUUCUGAAUUCAUAAAAUUAAUUUCCAUAUUAAAAUAAACUUCAGAAAUAAUAAUCAUAUUAAGAAUACUGAAAGACAAGAAAUCAUGGAAACUUCAAUGUCCAAACUGUUGAUUCCAGAAAGAGGAUUCUUGACUUCCAAACAAGAAAGUAGAAAUUCACAGUGGAUACAAAAAAUUGUAAGAUGUACUAAAAGCAAACCAUUCACUGAAUGGCAACCUCCACGCCUAUCAAACUUUGGAAAAAAGAACACAUUUCUAGAAUUCUAGGAAGAAAGAGGUAGCAAUAAACACUUCAGGGUGUUCUAAAGAACUACAUUCAGCUUAUUGAUCACUUAGAAGGGCUCUUUGAGUUUAAGCAGGAAGACGGAAAUUCGCAGAGCAAGUGAUAAAAAUUGAAAAGAGAGUAUGAGAGGAAAAGCCUGUCACCACAUAAUCAAAUAUUUGUGUAUUUCACCUGUCCCAAUGUAUAAUUAUUAUGCAUAUGUUAUUGUCCCAUUUCACACAUCAAAUUGCAGUUCUCCUUAAUCAAAUCAAUCCAAAUCAUGUUGGAAAAUAUUCUACUCUGGAUAAAGACAUGGAUAAGAAAAACAUAAGUUCGUCACUGGCACAAAAAGAUGUGUUCAAAAGAAGCCAUGAGCAGUUCAACCUUCUCUAGAACUUGGCCAACAAUAGCAGACUAGUGAAAAAAUUUUAAAGUAAAUAAAGAACAAAAUGGCCAUUGUUUCGUCAAGUUCCCACCACAGGUGGACCUUAGAAAGCAAACUAAAGAUAUUCUCAUGCAUAAUAGAAUUCUAUGAUAUCAAAGAUGUGUGAGAUAUUUUUUGCAGAGUUAUGAUAAUAUUGCUAUACACCUAAGUAAACACUGCUAUGACAAGAUUUUUGACAAGUGACCGAGUGAGACAAAAGGCAAGUUUCUUGCCAAAACAAGCAACAGCUACAUCAUUAUCAGAAAAUGCUGUCUAAUGAAAGACAAGUGCAUGGCAGUGUUUAACAUAUACAAAACAGAUGCAAGGAAUUAUACGAGAGCAAUUUCUGUUCUGCAGCAUCUUAUGAGUCAUUUUCUGUUGGCAUUAUCAAUGAGCAUAGACUAUAAGGAAAGAUCCCAUAAAGCAGAAGAGUAAUCUAGUCUCUAGAUCCAUCCUGGUAUUUACAGGAAAUGGAGAAGUAAAUUUACCACAUAGCCGAACAUUCAUGAGCAAGUCUAGUUCUUCCGUGAAGCCAAUCAAACACCUCAGGCAAUGUACAAGUUGCUAAUUCAUUAGAAACAAACAGCAAUGUGUCAAACAUCCUAAAUUGCAAAGAGACAACACUGACCAAGACUCGACAACAAUAGAGCUUCUAAGAUUCUUUUUUCGACUUCCUCACGUCCUUCCCCAGUCUAGUUCCCCUCACUUGAUCAAACUCUAUGAAGUCAUUUCCUUCUACUAACUCAUGAUUCAAUUGUAAACUAUCUAGUUUCAGCUACAAAGACAAAGCAAAUUAUGGAUAGAGAAACUCAUGCACAUCACUAUUAGUUCAAUUCUUUUAACAUAAUCAUCUAAAUGAGCCUAACCCCAUCACAAGUAGGCAUGGAGUAAUGAAAGGCAUACCAAUGCGGAUGUUGCAUGUGAUGCCAAUGCAAAUUCUAGACCUAAAUAUACUCGACCUGUAUCCCAGUUGUCAACAAACUACUAACAAUUAAUCGGAAGAAUUUAGAGCUUUAUGUAUGGCAUGAAUAAAAUAUGAAACCUUCUUUUCCUUUUCUUAUUUCUUGCUUCUACCAUUGCAAGUGACUUUAGUUAUAGCUACAAACACAAGAACAUAGAGGCUUCAGCAAUAUCUAAGAUGCCUAAAAUGUCAGUAUCAACAAUCAGCAGGCUUGUAUUCACUAUUUACAAUUUCAAAAAGCACAAGAAAUUGAAGUGCAAGAAUCAGGGUCAAUUACAUAAAGCCCAAAAGGAAAAGGCAAACAGCAAGCCGUUUUCUGAUUGACAUUUAUAAAGUAAAGCACUCAAAAAGAAAUAUACAUAGCAGUAUGUAUCGUCAAAGUAAGAAUAAGUAAUUGUUUACGUGAAAUUUAAAGGGAAAAAGAUCUUACUCGCGGUUCAGGUAGAAACAAUUAUUCCAACCGCACUGCUUCCGCUCUUUCCUUCAUACUGAAAAGACUGAGAGUUUGUACAUCCACUUUCCCUGCUAAUUGACAUUGCAAACUUAAUCUAUUAACCUAAUAAAAACACUAAAAUAAUAAUGUAGAAGAUUAGACAGCUAAUUAAGAUCAAGGUUAAAUUGAGAGUUUUAACAAUCAACAAUAACCAAAAAUUAGAAGGACAAUGCAAUUGAAAUUGAAUCGCAAUGAGCACUAAUCUGGUGACUUUUUCACUGAAGUCCACAAAGCUUAAUGAAGCAUUAGUGUAUGUUACAAGACUGAAUAAUAAAUUCAUCAUCAUUUUCAAUUCUCCAUUUUCGUCUACAUUUUCGAUACACUCGCAAUGGCUGCACCUAACGCAAGAAACAUAAGCAAUAAUAUUCGAUUAUCAAAAAAAAGGUAUUGCCGAUAAAUAGAAAAUUAAAUAGCUUAUCAGUCUCAAUAAGCAAAAAAAAAAAAAGUGAAACAAAUAAUGAUACACGUAAUAAGUUCAAACUGUGAUCAAAUAAAGGGUCAAGGUACCUUUUGUUUGUUUUGUCUUUCAAUGAAAGCGAAUCUUGUGAAGUAAAUACAAUUUGCUAACAAAUAUUAUUGUUAGAACCUGCUAUGGUUUCUUUCAGAUUCUUGAGAAACAAACAGAAGGCAUAGCAUGGAGUAAAACCGCGAGAUACAUGAUGUGAGACAAGAAAGAGAGACGUUGGGUUUAAAAAUGGUUUCUGCGCAGAAUUUGGUAAUCAUUAAACGGUAUAUGGCGCCGUUUUUAAUUUAUACAUACUGUUUCUUUUAUUUUAUUUAGCUUCCCAUUUUUUCUUUAUUUUAUUUUAUUAAUUAAAAAAGAAAAAGAACAUUAUUGGCGGUGUAAGCUUGAUUUUUUUAUAUCUUUUCUAAUAAAUUUGACUUCAACAGAUUAAUAAUUCGCUAAUUCUUAAAUGAUGUGAACUGCAAGUAAAAUAUAUAUAUAUAUAUAUUUUUACCCUCUAUUAUUAAAAUUAAAUCAAUCUAUUAAUUUAAUAUAUAAAUAAAAAUAGUCAACAUACGGAAUUUUUAAACGAUCUCCGUCACUUUCAAGAUAUUAUAAUAAUAAAAAUAAUACAGUUAAAAAUAAAAUAAAAUGGCAAUUUGUUGCCGUACCAUUCGAUUAUUUAUAGUUCUAGCUGAUUACAAUUAGAAAGAAUAAAUAUUUCAAACCAAAUCCUUCAUCACCCUAUGUCAUAAGCGACCAGAAAACUUAAAGAUACUAUAGAAAGGAAAACAGAAUGACAUGAAAAAUUUCAUUGUACAGAGGAGAGGAGGAGAAGAACCAAAGAAUCACUAAAAUACUGUUUCCUUGUUGCCUCCAAUUCAAACUGCUUGUAUAGGACUGCCUUUGCCUUGGCUCAAGUCAGACCCACUGACUGAAGCAUUUGCAUGAAAUGCAGACUGCCUUGAUGGCUCUCCUAUUAAUUUCAGGGAGAGCCGUGAUAGCUCUCUAUGAUCUCUCUCCAUCUCUCCUAUGCUAAGAUGAGACAUGCCAACCAGUUCGUCUACAUUGACAGGUUCCUUCGGAAAUAUUGGAACUGGUUUUAGGACUUGAUGAUUUGAUGUCUCUACAGUAUUUGCUUCUUCAGGAAUGGCAGUAUUUGUAGACCAAAAUGGAUAAGGUAUCGGCAUAUAAGCUGGGUAGAAUCCAGAAAUAAAUGGUGUGAAUUCACUUAACUGAGGUACAGCUGGUGCGAAUUCACUUAAUCUGUGUUCAGUUUGUUUCAACUCACUAGACCCAGUCAGCAUUUCCUCAGGUUCUUCAGCAGGCUCUUCAGAUGCAGUUUCCAUGGGUUCACAUUCUGGCUUAAAAGAAAGGUUCAGUGAAGGUAGUGCAUCUGCAUUAUCAGUAUCUCCCAACUGACCUGAUGGCAACUCGUGUUCUUCUGGUACUGAUUGGGGUUCUGUGGCCUGACAAAGACAUGAAGAAGUGGGAAAAAUAAUUUCAACAAAUCACAGGACAAAAAAUCACGUAAUUAAUAAAAUUUCUUCUAAUCAAGUAAUAAUAGAUAUAAUGCUAGGCCAUAUAAGUCAUUAAUUCUGCAUCAGUCGCACAUUUGUUUUGAGAUUCAAAAUGACAAAUGAAUGGAUAUUUUAUUAGCAACUACGUUCAAUCUUACUGCUUAUAAUGAAAGACCAGCACAUAAAGUUGAGAUCAUAUACAAUUUUAGGCAGUAAAAUAGUUUAUUUCUAUGAAAAUGUGGCAAGUUCAAUAAGCAACUGCCAGGUUUAAGUCAGCCACCAUCAGCGUGUUUUAUCAUAGACAAAUACAUAAAGAUGCAGGUGUUUGUUUCCAAAUGGUGAAAUGAACAUAAGAGGAGAAGACGAACCAUGUCGGGAACCAUGUCAAAAAGGCUGGAGCGUCUCUUUCUUCGUGUGGCAUUAGUCUGGCGGAUGAAAUAUUUCUGAGCAUGGCUUGCUACCUGGGUAGGAGUCCUAGACACCACAUAGUUUCGAGCUAUUCCACGCCAGUCUCCUUUCCCCAAUUUCUGAAGACCAAUUAAGAAUAACCGAUGCUCCUCUUCUGUCCAUGGGACACCUAAAAUCCAUAUAUAAGACAAAUGAGCAAACAGUUCCAAUAUAAAACUAGCAUGAAAACUUUGAUUGCCUUGCCCCUCGGUAAUGCAUAGAUUUUUUUCUCUCAACUUAGGAAAUGCAGCCCAUUAUAUCAUUUCUGACUUCCUAAAGAGUUUCCAAUUCAUGAAGUAGAAUAGGAACAGUGUAGAAACAAUGAUAAUUGAGUGCUCAGUUUGAAAGUGCCGUUGCAUGAAAGUAAGACAUGAACUUCAAAAGCCACUUAAACAAUAAUCCAAUCACUGGACCAGUCCAAACACUACAGUGGAAAAAUUACUGCCAUGGGGCUACCCCUUUAAUUCAUCAUAUCAAGUGCAAAAAAAGGGAAAAUAAGCUCAAAUACAGAAAACCACUAUCAGAUGAUUCAAAGCAGGACAGUGAGGUAACACCUGCUACCUAAUUCUCCCACCUCUGCACACUCGAUUUUCUGAGCAUCUCUAGUAAAGAAUUUCGCAAACUAGAAUGUUUACAUACGGCAGAACAAGUUCCAAAUAUGUCAAAAAACAAAACAUGUAUUAGGUGUAAGUAACAUUAACAAGGAUAGAAAACAUAGUAUCUUUGAAUAAAGCAAAAGCUCUUAAGACUUGUGAAAACAUUGCCUAGCAGAAGGUAGAACAAGAAGAAAAAGUGUUCACAAUUAUUGUGGUGAAAUAAGUGUAUUGACCUCGUUCUCUUUCCUCCCCUCUUCCCAAAGUCAUCCUAAAUCCUUGUUCAAGUGAAUACAACUUCAAGUUAAGCAACAUAUUCAACUUAUCCACGACAAGUCACCUGCACUACUUUCACUAUAACUGAAUACUGCUGAACUGCAGAAGAAAGACUGAAAUUUUGAGCUCAACCUGCAAUCUCUAAUUGAACUUGUAACUGACUCAAUUAUAUCCAUUUAUGUUUAAGACUUCCAACUAGAAAAAAAUUACAUAUUUACAACUAAUUAUAAUUAUAGUUCAGAUAACAGAAGAAAUUAUUAUAGAAAAAAAUUACAUAUUUACAACUAAUUAUAAUUAUAGUUCAGAUAACAGAAGAAACUAUUAUAAUUCAGAUAACAGAAGAAAAAAGAAGAAGAGAAAACUAACUGAUCAAACAAAAUAAUUGAUCAUUAACAACAACCAUUACCAUCAGCAAAAUAAAAUCCCAGCACCUUAUCCAAAAUCAUAAAACAAAAAUAAAAUAGACGUAAAAGAAUAUUUGAUAUGAGAAAAAGGGGUAAAGCAAAAUCAACAGAUGAAUAGCUAACCUUUCUUUCUCUCACAACGUCGAUUGGUGGAGCAGCUAGCAUGGGCCAGGUCAUCAGACAAGUAACCAUCCUGACCCGAAUCACGAACAUGAUCCGACAGCGGAGAAUCAGGAUUAGGUGAAGCAGCGGCUGACGAAUGGUAGUGAGCAGACAAAUUACCCAUACUCGCACUCUUUUUAAUAAUUGAUCCAUCCGUAAGCCUCACUCCGAAUAGUCUCACACCUGCGAUUGACGAUGCAGAAGACGAGGACGAGCCAGAGCCUGCAGCCGAGGAGCAGGUUGAAGAGCGCGUGGGACACGUGCGUGAGUUAUGCCCGUUGUUGCUGCAAUGCGAACACCGUCGAGUCAUCGUUAUAGUGACUCGCCACUGGAUCACCCCCCGGAGUCGGAAAGAAAGAAAGAAAUGGAUAAAUAUAGUUUAAGAGAGAGAGAGGGGGGGGAGACCGUGAGGAGAUUAAGGUGGGGAUUUAUUUAAGGGAUAAAGAGAAAUUGCGAAGGUUAAGGGUAGUUUUGGGAUUUUAUUAUUUUGGGGGCAGAAUUAAAGUGGGGAUUAGAGGAUAACGGGGGAUCGUUCAAUUCUUUUCAUCUAUAUUUACUUUAUACCUUCCAAAAAGGCUUUUUAUUUUUCUAUUCCGGAAGACUUUUAAUAUUAAUGGUUACGCUACUAUAAAUUAAAUAUUAAAUAGGGGAAUUUUAUCAUAUGGAUAAUCUGUGUAAAACACUAAUAAUGUUUUCAUUAUAAUGAACUAAUUUUACAUUUUACUCGCUUUAGGUAUGUAAACCUCCUUUGGGCACAAUAUUUCUGAGUAGAAAUUAUUUAUUUCUUUAUUUUUUAAAAUUGUUACUGAUUUUGAAAAUACCUUUUACAACAAUUUGAUUUUUCUAGCCUUUCCAAUAGAGAGAAUUGAAGAAAAGAAGGGGAAAAAAGAAAAAGCUGAAAUGACAAAAGUGUACCAAACCAAAUCAUCACCCUACGUUGUUGACAUACGAUUCAAUUAUUUAUAAUUCUAGCUGAUUACAGUUAGAAAGAAUAAAUAUUUCAAACCAAAUCAUUCAUCAUCCUAUGUUAUAACGACCAUAAAACUUAAGACACUAUAGAGAGGAGAACAAAAGGAGAGGAAAAUUCUCAUUUUACAGAGGAGAGGAAAGGAGGGAAAGAAAAAACUAAAAGAAUUACUAAAAUAAUGUUUCCCUUUUUCUUCUCCGUUUCAAACUGCCUGUAUAGGACUACUUUUGCCUUGGCUCAAGUCAGACCCACUGACUGGAGCAUUAGCCUGAAAUGCAGACUGCCUUGAUGGCUCUCCUAUUAAUUUCAGGGAGAGCGGCGAUGGCUCUCUGUGAUCUCUUUGUGUCUCUCCUAUGCUAAGAUGAGACAUGCCAACCAGUUCGUCCACAUUGACAGGCUCCUUAGGAAAUAUUGGAACUGGCUUUAGGACUUGAUGGUUUGAUGUCUCCAUGCCGUUCACUUCUUCAUGAGGAGCAGCAUUUGUAGGCCAAAAUGGAUAAGGUAUUGGCAUAUAAGCUGGGUAGAAUCCUGGAACAAAUGGUGUGAAUUCACUCAGCUGAUGUAUAGCUGGUGUGAAUUCACUUAAUUUCGGUAUCAUUUGUUUGAAUUCACUAGACCCGGUCAGCAUUUCCUCAAGUUCUCUAGCAGGUUCUUCAGAUGCAGUCUCCAUGGCUUCACAUUCUGGCUUAAGAGAAAGGUUCAGUGAAGGCAGUGCAUCUGCAUUAUCGGUAUCUCCUAACUGACAUGAUGGCAACUCGUGUUCUUCUGGUACUGAUUGGGGUUCUGUGGCCUAACAAAGACAUGAUGAAGUGUGCAUAUAAAUUUCAACAAUUCCAAAGGAAAAAAAGAUAACAUAACAGAAAAAAUAUCUUCUAAUCUAGUAAUCAAAUAAGUUGUUACAACACUAGAUCACAUAAUGCAGUAGUCCUGCAUUAAUUGCACAUUUGUUUGAAGAUUCAAAAUGACAAAAUGAAUGGAUAUUUGUCAUCUUGUUGCUUUUAAUGAAAGAUUAGCACUUAUAAGUUGAGAUCAUAUAUAAUUUUAAGCAGUAAAAUAGGUUAUUUCCAUGUUAUGUGGCAAGUCCAAUAAGCAACUGCCAGGUUUCCAUUGGUGUAUUUUACCAUGGACAAAUACAUAAAGAUNNNNNNNNNNNNNNNNNNNNNNNNNNNNNNNNNNNNNNNNNNNNNNNNNNNNNNNNNNNNNNNNNNNNNNNNNNNNNNNNNNNNNNNNNNNNNNNNNNNNNNNNNNNNNNNNNNNNNNNNNNNNNNNNNNNNNNNNNNNNNNNNNNNNNNNNNNNNNNNNNNNNNNNNNNNNNNNNNNNNNNNNNNNNNNNNNNNNNNNNNNNNNNNNNNNNNNNNNNNNNNNNNNNNNNNNNNNNNNNNNNNNNNNNNNNNNNNNNNNNNNNNNNNNNNNNNNNNNNNNNNNNNNNNNNNNNNNNNNNNNNNNNNNNNNNNNNNNNNNNNNNNNNNNNNNNNNNNNNNNNNNNNNNNNNNNNNNNNNNNNNNNNNNNNNNNNNNNNNNNNNNNNNNNNNNNNNNNNNNNNNNNNNNNNNNNNNNNNNNNNNNNNNNNNNNNNNNNNNNNNNNNNNNNNNNNNNNNNNNNNNNNNNNNNNNNNNNNNNNNNNNNNNNNNNNNNNNNNNNNNNNNNNNNNNNNNNNNNNNNNNNNNNNNNNNNNNNNNNNNNNNNNNNNNNNNNNNNNNNNNNNNNNNNNNNNNNNNNNNNNNNNNNNNNNNNNNNNNNNNNNNNNNNNNNNNNNNNNNNNNNNNNNNNNNNNNNNNNNNNNNNNNNNNNNNNNNNNNNNNNNNNNNNNNNNNNNNNNNNNNNNNNNNNNNNNNNNNNNNNNNNNNNNNNNNNNNNNNNNNNNNNNNNNNNNNNNNNNNNNNNNNNNNNNNNNNNNNNNNNNNNNNNNNNNNNNNNNNNNNNNNNNNNNNNNNNNNNNNNNNNNNNNNNNNNNNNNNNNNNNNNNNNNNNNNNNNNNNNNNNNNNNNNNNNNNNNNNNNNNNNNNNNNNNNNNNNNNNNNNNNNNNNNNNNNNNNNNNNNNNNNNAAGAGUGAAAAGCUAGUCUUUUUAUGGGGAAAUUAUAAUAAUUCAAAGCAGGAUUUUUCCCCUGUGAAAUAAAAGGUACUACCUGCUACCUAAUCCCCUGAGUCAGUAACACACACAGUUUUCUGAUUAAAAUAUGCACAUAUAGCAGAACAAGUUCCGGAAAUAUAUUGAAAGACAACAUAUGCAUCAUGUGUAAGUAACACUAACAAGGAUAGAGAUCAUAGUAUAUUUCAGUAAUACAAGAGCUGUCAAAGUAGAGAAGGCAAAACAAGAGAAAAAACAGUAUCUUCAUUCUCUUUACUCUCCUUUACAAAAGACUCUAAAUCUGAAUCCUUCAGAAUCGCAAAGAAAUUUUCGGCUCAAACAAAAUAUUUUAGAUUUUUUCAGAAAAAAAAAAAAAAAAUCACAAUCACAUAUUUAUCAACAGAAAAGAAAACGGAUUAAACCAACCACCAUUUUCAACAUCAAAUCCCAGCACCUUAUCCAAAAAUCAUAUAGCAAAAAUUAAAUAAAAUUAAAAUAAUAAUUGAAAAAGAAGUAUAUCAAAAUCAACAGAGGAUGAAACUAGGUAACGAAGCAAAAUCAACAGAUUAUGAAGCUAGCUAACCUUUCUUUCUCUCACCGCGUCGAUUGGUGGAGCAGCUAGCAUGGGCCGGGUCAUCAGACAAGUAACCAUCCUGAACCGAAUCACGAACAUGAUCGGACAGCGGAGAGUCAGGAUUAGGUGAAGCAGCAGCUGAAGAAUGGUAGUGAGCAGACAAAUUGCCCAUACUCGCGCUCUUUUUAAUAAUUGAUCCAUCCGUAAGCCUCACUCCGAAUAGUCUCACACCUGCGAUCGACGAUGCAGAGGACGAAGCCGAGCCAGAGCCUGCAGCCGAGGAGCAGGUCGAAGAGCGCGUGGGACACGUGCGUGAGUUAUGCCCGUUGUUGCUGCAAUGCGAACACCGUCGAGUCAUCGUUAAAAUGACUCAGCACCGAAUCACACGAACGCGAGUCAGAAAGCACAAAGGAAUUGAUAAAUAUAGUUAAGUUUAUGAAAAUAGAGACUUUUAAGAGAGAGAGAGGGGCUGUGAGGAGAUUGAGGAGGGGAUUUAUUUGAGGAGAAAGAGCAAUUGGUGAAGGUCAAGGGCAGUUUUGAGAUUUUUAUUUUUCUGCGGGGAUAAUUUAGGAGUGGAUUAGAGGAUAGCGGGGGAUCGUUCGUUGCUCUUUCUGUAUAUUUAUUGUUUUACCCUUCCGGAAGGGAUAAUGUUUCUUUUCUAAAACUUUUUUUUUUUAUUUUGGGGAAAGAUUUUUAAUACUGCUGGUUAGUCUACUAUAGAUUAUUAUCUUAAAUAGGGGAUUUUUAUCAUAUGGAUGAAUUGUGUUAAAAUAACAACUCAAACUCUAAUCAUUAUUUGCUUUAAGGGUUAUUCUAUUUUAUUAGAAUGAAAUUGUAUUGCUCUUUUUAGGUGUAUCCAUAUAAACCUUCUCUGGCAUUAGUUUUCAGAAUAAAAAUCACAUUUCAAAGAUAUAAAAAUAAUUUUAAGAAAUUAGAUGUUUCAGUUUUUAUGAAAAUUAAUUUAAAACUUUAAGAUGACAAAAUCUUGAUAUGUNNNNNNNNNNNNNNNNNNNNNNNNNNNNNNNNNNNNNNNNNNNNNNNNNNNNNNNNNNNNNNNNNNNNNNNNNUCUAUAUUAGUAUUUCUUAAAUUUGGUAAAAAAUUUAUUAGAUUAAUAAUUAUUUCCUUUUAAUCCUACAUUAUUGUUGUUUCUUAUUUGAAUCUUUAUUUCUAGAAGUUGCAAAAUAUUUUGAAUCGUAAAAGUGACUAAAAUCUACAUCAUAUUUAAAAAAUUUACAAAAUAAAAUUUUAGAUGACUAAAUGUUUGUAUUCAUUCUCAACUGUUAUUAAAUCUUAUACCAACUCAUUUACCAAAAGAUAAUUCUAUAAAAGAGCCAAGGAAAAUAUAUCAAGGGUUGUUUGGUAUAAAUUUUUGUCCGUUAAAACAGAAGAAGAAAAAUAUUUAAAAAUAAAUAAAAUUAAAUUAUAACAUAAAAAAUUUAUAAUUAGAAUUAAUAAUAAUAUAAUAUACUAUAAGCAAAAUAAAUUAUAAAUUUUAUUUUAUUUCAGAUCUCAUUUAUAUUUAUUUACCUUAUAAACUUUUUUCUUGAAACAUGUUACAAGCAGAAGUGCAAAAAAUUGUAUUUAUAUAUAAGAUAUUUGUUAAUGAAAGAAAUCAUUAAUUACUAAUCCAGUGACUUUGUUUUUUUCUUUCGUUAAUUAAUAGCAUCAGAUAACAUAGACUAGUGGUUAACCUUUAUCUCCACAGGGAAGAUUGGUCCUCUUGCGAGUUGCGAUAACGAUUAAGACAUUACUUAAUUUGAGUUUAGAUAAUAAAAGGAGUGGAUUAAAUAUUUUAAUAGUAAAAAUAUCAAUACGUUGAUUAUUAAAUUAAAAAAUCAGUGUCUUGGUUUUUUUACUAGUUUAUAUAAAGAUAUUAAAUUAGAAAAUAUAAAAAUUUAUAUAACUGAAUUUAAAAAUAAAUUCGGAAUAGAGGAAUUAUUUUAGACACUAUAAUUGUAGGCGUAGUGAGAUUUGAUAAGAUUUAAAUGACACUUUUAACACCAAUUAUACAUAUUUUCAAAAGAAACACAAAGAGGAACACCAAGUGUACGUAAAGACACUUUAGCCGUGAAUAAUGGGGUAAAAUCGCAAAUGCACAAUAAGGUCAUUUCAGGAGUUGUAGAAAUUUAAGUCAAACACUUCAACCUGGAUAACGUCUCAUUUAUUUAUUUAUUUAUUUGUAGAGGGAUUUUAUUACAUUUUGUUUGGACGUAAAUUGGGAAAACACCGAUGCAUCAUAAUGAAAGAUUGAAUUCUGCUUCCGAGGAUUCAAACAUACUUCGGAAACAGAUUUUCUUUGAGAAAAAAAUGUCUUGCCAAAAAUGCCCUUUUAAGGUCGGUUAUGUAGCGUGAAAUGAGGGGCGUGUUUGGGAAAUAAGAGUCGGUAAUUUUUUAUGGUUGUUCUAAAUCAAUUACGACUUGCCUCAAAAGUCUAGUGCAUGUACUUGACCAGCCAUAAUUCUCCACGUGGAUCUAGCCGCGGUCCCACCAUACUUUUGUGUGGGGGACUCGGUCAUGGAUCACCGCACACGUGUAAUGUUAACAUCAAUUGCAAUCUCACUUUUGAUGAUUUUGCUAAUCCAUAAUUCCACACGUCUUUCAAGUUCAAUGGUCUUUUGCUUAACAAGUUGCGAGUAGUGAUCCUGUGUCACAUCAAGUAAAAGCUCCUUCUUAACCUUUUUUUUUUUUUUUUUAAACUUGGUGUCAUCCCUUUGUAUUUUUCCAUGAAACCCACAAUAGAUUAUUAUGAUAUAUGUCAAUGGGGUUUCUUCUUUCAGAAAUAUAUUCCAGAUUUAUAAUUAUUUUUUAAUUAAAAUUAAAUUUUAUUGUUAGUGUUUCAAUCCAAUAAAAAAAAUUUCAAAAUAGACUCAACUAAUAGAAUAUAAUGUCACUGUUGAUAAUAUACAGCACAGUGAUGCAUAAUUUUAUUCGCAGGACAUAACAAACUCACACAAACAAUAAACUAAGAAAAGGAAGCUACAAAAGUGCUCGCGACUCGGCCAUCACCGCAGCCCUAGUGAACAAGGAGAACUCCAAAUCACCGGCACUCUGAAAUCCAAGCAAAAGCAACAUAAAAGAAAGAAACGAAUAAGGGUUGUGGUAAAGAGGGAGGGGGAUUAACUCCCUUAGCUACCAAACUUUCAUGGUGCUAAAAUGCUCUCACCACUUUGUGUUUUUAAACUAAGAUCUGCUUACUUGAAAGAUUUCACACCAAAGAGCGCAGAAAGAAAACAUCAAUGGAGACACUCAAAUACUUAAACUACUACAAUAAAAGAUUCUUCACCUUGGGAGCACUAGAAAUCCACCGUUGAUCAUGGGAGUACAAAAUAUUAUUUGUAAACUCACUCUAAAAUUCAGAAAACGUAAAUUAAACAAGAAAAAACAUUAAAAGAAGAAAAAGAACGGAAAAGUGGUUUUGGCCAUUUUCCGUAGAAGAAAAAGGAAAAAGAAAAAGAGAAAGGCUUUUUUUUUUUUUUUUUUUCUGAAUUUGUUAGACCGUAUAACAAUUUUAAAUAGACUAAAAAGUUAUUGGUAAAAAACAAUCGGCAAAUGGUAAUUUGCCCUCUAAAUCUAAGGGACAAAUAUAUAUAAUUUAAACAUUUUCAGUAAAUAGUUUGAGAUUAUUAAUUCUAUUUCGUUUCAUCCGGAAUGGCCGGGAUGUCUCAUUUUAUUAAAAAAAAUGAAAUAAAAUAUUUUUUAUUCUGCAGUAGUCAAAAUCUCGAUCAUUUCGGACCGAAAUGAUUGAGAUUUGACUAAAAUAGUCAUUCCGGACGAGAUUAACGAGAUAGACCGAAAUAAAGUAACUUUAUAUACAAAAUAUAUUAUUGAAUUGAAUUAAGUAGUUCGGUAAUACUUACCUCUAUCACAAUAAAAAAAAUUUCUCUCUAUCAAUUAAAAACGAAUUGAAAUUUAAAAUUUCAAAUAAUCAUCUCUUUAACUUUAUCUAUUAUCUCAUCUUGCACUCUACAAUUUAACCAUAUUUUCAUUUCACUAAUUCAUCAAUUUUUUAUGAUCUAAUCUAUAUUAUCUAAUAAUAAGAACUUAAAACUUAUGUGAUUCGAUUUUCAUAUUUUUAUCUCACAAGAUAAUAUUUUAUAAUUUAUUUGAUUAUGUUAUAGAGAGAUUUCAUUAUUAUAAUUCUAUAAUAGAGUAUAUGUAUACUUGUUACUUUUCAAUAUGCUAUUUAAUUAGACUAUAGGUAAUAAUUUUUACAGUGUUGUAUUUUAAUGAUUUAAAAUUAAAUUAUGGAAUAAUUCAAAAUAUGACGUUGAAAUGCUUCGAUAUCGAAAUAUUUUGUUCUAAUGACAAAUCUGGAAAUUGAAAUUCAUAACUUUGAAAUAGCUUUUUGACUUUAUAUGGAGUUAAAUACAUCAAAUUUAAAUCUUGAUCAAAUAUAUCUAAUUUAAAUUUUUUAAGAAUAAAAAAAUAUUAAAAUUUAAUUAAAUUAUAAAAUUAAAAAUAAUAUUUAUUUCUUUAAUUUAUUAAUAUAAUAUAUAAUGACGUAUUAUACAUAAGUAUAUUUGGCAAUAUUUACAAUUUAAACUUAAUUAACUCAAAAAUUAUAAGUAUUAAAUAAAUUAAAUUUAUUAUUAACUUUUCGGUAUAAGCACAUUCAUUAUGUGAUUUCAGCUGAAAUUAUAAAUAUUAGAUCCUUAAUUUAUGUAUGAAUAAAUAAAUAAACAAACAUUUACUUCGGCUUUCAUAUAUAGUUUUAGUGUCCCAUCCAAGAACUUAGAGUUAGAAUUGGAUAUCCAUCUUAAUUAUUUGUUAUGAUGAUCUUAAAAUGUAAUAGAUAUUAAUGGGUGGGUGUGGGGAAGCAUAUAUAUAUUUAGAAAGGAGUAUAUUCUUAUUGUCCAUUAUGGAUGAUGUUAACACCAAGUGAUAAGUUUAUUUAAUAUGAAAGGCUAAAGAUGCGAGAACCCACGUAAUAAAACUAUUGUUAUCAUCAAAAGUAGUCCUCAUUUCUUAACACCUUCGUUACCAUUUCCUCUCUUGACGUUUGAUUUUUAUAUCACAAAUNNNNNNNNNNNNNNNNNNNNNNNNNNNNNNNNNNNNNNNNNNNNNNNNNNNNNNNNNNNNNNNNNNNNNNNNNNNNNNNNNNNNNNNNNNNNNNNNNNNNNNNNNNNNNNNNNNNNNNNNNNNNNNNNNNNNNNNNNNNNNNNNNNNNNNNNNNNNNNNNNNNNNNNNNNNNNNNNNNNNNNNNNNNNNNNNNNNNNNNNNNNNNNNNNNNNNNNNNNNNNNNNNNNNNNNNNNNNNNNNNNNNNNNNNNGCCUUUGAAUCUAAUCAUAUAUGGAGAACCUUUAUCCAAAAGAAAUAUAUAUAUAUAUAUAUAUAUAUAUAUAUAUAUAAUAUAUGUAUGCACAAAGCAAUGUACGGACAUGUGAAAGCAUGAGAUAGAGCAAGUUUUUGUCUCUGUCUGUAUACGUGGCAAAACAUAUUUUUUAUUACCCUAUUUAAUUAAUUUAUAAUAUUAAAAUAGAAUUUUCAGUAAAAUUCUAAUUUAGUGAAAAUAAAUUUGUGUAUUUUCUUAUGUAGAUGUUUGUGAAUUUUAUUUUAAUUCUAAAGUUUAUUAUAAUAUUAUUAUAGAUAGACAAGGUGGGAAGGAAAGUCAAUAUUUGCAGACCCAUUUAGUUUAUCUCCAAGAGGAUAACAUGGGGUAAGCAUACAUAGGGAGCCACCUUUUUUAUCCCUUCCUAUGAAAGAUACGUUUGAAAAUUAAAUUAAAUUAAAAUAAAGUAUGUUAUCUAUCUUCAAGGGAGAUCAGAUCGUUUCCAGGAAUCUCUGAAUUAUAUUUUUCUCUUUCUUUUCUUUUUUACUAUUAAAACAUUUAAGUAGCAGAAAUUAAUAGUAUUAUCUUAACUACCAAUUGCCUUUUCUUCACGUGGUCCGCGACUAACAAAACAAUUUUAAAAAUAAAUAAUUAUAUAAUACUUAUAUAAAAAUAAUAUUUCAUAUUUCUGCAGUGACUUGAACUUGACUUAAAUUAAACUAUUAAAAUAUUAAAGAAAUAAGUAUAAUUAGACCUUUAAACUCGUAUAUUUUUUAAUUAAAUUUUGUAUAUUACUUCUUACUUGACAAUUUUAUGUCACGAGCACCCUACCUAAACGGCAUUAUAUAUAAGCUCAGACCUAAAUUCAAAAUUGAUUGGUCCCUUUUUCUUGCUCGAGUUAGAAAUGCCUACUUCUAUUGAUUCUUUCUGUCCAUAACCAACAGCUAUGAGACCAUGUAUUUCUACUCAUCAUCACUCUGCAAUCUGGUAGACUUAAAACAGUUUUAAAAAUCAAUUUUAUUUUAUUUGAUUCAGGAAACGCAAUUUUAAUGUCUACCACUUUUCUUUUCUUUCAUCACUUAAUGAAAGAAGAAAAGAAAAUAAAAAGGUGUGAAUUACAUAAUCAAAAGAAAUUGACAGUUUGGACCAAAAUGUCAACAACUUUUAAUUCUUUUCCAUUUAGAAGCGUGAGAGAUUAGAUUUAGCCGCCCACUUGAUUCUGUAAACCUAACUAUUUGGCCCACAUUUGCACAUACUGCCAUUUUGUUAAGAUCUUGGAUAAUUCCUAGAGAUCUCUCUCUACAUGCAUUCAUUAAUCAUUUAUGAUUCUGUACAAUUAUAUACUUUUUUAUUUUAUUUUUUAUCUUCUAAAGAUAUUUUUUUUGUCUAUUUUAAAUUACACCCCACUUUCAUUUUCUAAUUGUUCAAUAGCUCAUAGUUAAAAUUGUUUUUAUUUAUUAACAUAAAUAUUAUCACUUAAAACUAAAUUUCAAGUUUGUAAUUUUUAUUGAUAUAUUUCUUAGUUCCGAUGUGAUACCAAAUAUUUUCAUUUUCAGUAAUAAAUAAAUCAUUAAACAUAAUGAAUGUGUUGGAAAAUCUAAUAAAAUUGUCCAUAUCUUAAAAAGACAGUUGUUGUUUUCUUUUUUGAUCAAUCUUUUAUUUUUAAUUAUUAGUCUAAUAAGUAAUUGUCAAAAUACUCUUCAUUAAUUAAUAAAGAUAUAAUCGCAUGUCAAUUAGAAAUUAUACUCUUUAUAAAAAAUUUAACAAGAAUAUUCUAGAAAAAUAAUGAUAAAAAUUAGUAUUAUCAAAUCUGUAUUUCUUAAUUUACGUGUAUAUUGAAAAUGGAUUAUCUCUUUUAAACAAAUAAAAUAUUAAAAUUAAUAGUAUCAACUGUAAAAAACUAAUAUUCUUAGUAUAUUUGUCAAUUAAAAAUGAAAAAUAUUUUAUGAUGAAAGAAAGAUGUAUUUUAAGUUAAACUGAAUAUUACGUGCACUUUAAUAAUGUAUGCAGUUAUUUAUAAUAGUGUUAUUAAUAAUAAUAAUAAUAAGAUUAAGAUUACCACUCUUAAGACUGGAAUACAUAAUUUGAUAGUGUUAAUGCGUGAAGCAAAUACGUCACAUAAGUUUGAGAAGUCUUCUUCUACUUUCUAAUAAGAUAGUGGCAUUUGAAAAUUGAAUAGUUAGACUUUUUCCUGAAGGCAAAGAAAAUAGCAGGUUUUUAUUGGUAAUCUCAAUUUUUUUACUAACUUACAUAAAUAAGAAAGAAAACACAUGUAAAAACGCGUUCUAGAGUAAACCAAAGUUGUUUUUUGCUUGGACCUCAAACUAUAUNNNNNNNNNNNNNNNNNNNNNNNNNNNNNNNNNNNNNNNNNNNNNNNNNNNNNNNNNNNNNNNNNNNNNNNNNNNNNNNNNNNNNNNNNNNNNNNNNNNNNNNNNNNNNNNNNNNNNNNNNNNNNNNNNNNNNNNNNNNNNNNNNNNNNNNNNNNNNNNNNNNNNNNNNNNNNNNNNNNNNNNNNNNNNNNNNNNNNNNNNNNNNNNNNNNNNNNNNNNNNNNNNNNNNNNNNNNNNNNNNNNNNNNNNNNNNNNNNNNNNNNNNNNNNNNNNNNNNNNNNNNNNNNNNNNNNNNNNNNNNNNNNNNNNNNNNNNNNNNNNNNNNNNNNNNNNNNNNNNNNNNNNNNNNNNNNNNNNNNNNNNNNNNAAAAGAAACUAAGACUAAUUCUUACACCAACGAAUAAUAUAAAUAUUUUAUAUUCUAAUUUUAUAUAUGUAAUUAUCUAAAACUAAUAAAUUUAUAUCAGAUAUUUAAAAAUUGGAUGUAUAAAUAAAAUAUACAAAUUGAUAAAUAUUUAUAUAUAUAUAUAUAUUAAAUUUUGAGAAUUAGAAUUUCUUUGGUAGAUAUAUUUAAAUUUUGAGACAUAAAAUUUAAAUUUAUAUAUGAUUUUAUAAUUUUUUAUUAAUUUAUUAAUUCAUAAAUUAUAUUUCUAAUUAACCACCGAUUCUAAUUUUAAAAAAUAAUUAUAUUUUAAUAUAUAUUAAUUUAUAGAUAAUUUUUUAAUAAGAUAAUAAUAGUAAUUCUGAUAUAAGAGAUAAUAUAUUAAUUAUAUUUUAAUAUUAUAUUAAACUAAUAAAUUAAUAAUAAUAUUAAUUUUAACAAUAAUUUUUGAAAUAAUAUUUUUAAUAUUAUAUUUAUACUAAAUAAAUAUUUUGAUUAUAUAAUAAAUUUUUAAUUUUAAGAAUAAUGAUAUUAAUUAUUUAUAUAUUAAUUAUAUAAUAUUAAAUUAAUUAAUAUAAUUAAUAAAUAUUUUUAUAAUAAUAUAUUAAUAAAUAAAUAAAUAAAUAAUUAUAAAUAUAAAGAUAAAAUAGAGAAUAUCAAUCGAAUAGUUAUUUGUCUCUCCCUUGCGGUCCCGUGUUGGACAGCCUACUAACUACACGCGUGAUAAUCACACCCCAAAACCUGGAACAUCUUUCCAAAUCUGGAAAAACAUGUCUUAAGAAAAAUGAUUUGGCAUUCACAAACUCAUAUUAUUAUGGAAAGGAAAAAAAAAAAAAAAAGCUAAUAUUGGUAUUGACAAAAAAAGUUGUCAAUAUUAUUAUAUGGAAGACGAAAAACAAAAAGAAAAAGAAAAGGGAUAGUGCCACUUGUCCCUGGUAUUGACAAAAAGUUCAAAUAAAUAAAACAAUGUUACAUUAAAUAAAUGCAAUUUUCAUGAUUGCAAUUGGUAGUCCACGACAAAGAACAAAAUUUAUUAUAAAAAUAUAAGUCAAUAAUGUAUUUAGUUUUCAAUUUAAUAAAUAGUUUUCCAGUAAAAGAUUUAUAUUUUAAAAUAAUUUUAUAAUGACCGUACAUUUUUUAUAUCAAAUAUAUUUUUUGACACGUGAUUUUAUUUAUUUAUUAUUAUUAAUAACUCAUGAUUAAAAUUUAAUUAAUAAAAAUAUAAUAAUUAAUAAAUAAAGUUAUAUUUUAUUAUAUAAUUGAUUUAAUUUAAGAACGAAUAGUAGAUUAAAUCUAUUUAAUUUUUUUACUUUAUUUCAUUUUUUAUAAUGACACGUGUAAAAUAUAGUAUAUGUAGUUUCUAACUUGGUAGUUUUCUCAUUUAACAAGAACAGUUCCCUUUUGUAAAAUUGAAAUGUAUUCGGCUCACAUAAAUACAAGCAUUAAAUUAAAAAACACUAAAAAGCAAAAGAUAUAUAGAUACUUAAAUAUUUUAUUCUCAUAAUUAUACAAGAUUUUUAAGCAUUUAUUAGUUAUUAAUUAUUAAAUAAAGAAAUAAGUUAGCUUCUUAAAUUUUUUUUAAUUAAUUCAUUAUUAAAUAUUAUAAAUAAGAGAGUGAGCUAUCAAAAAAAAGUUGUGAACGCAAGCUCAUAAAAAAAUAAAUUAAAAUAGAACAAAUUAUUGUAUAAAUUCUGAAUGUUUUAACAUUACAAGUAGAAAAUUCAACAUUAUUAAGAUUUGAGGUGAUAAAUAAGAUCUAAGAUGACUUCACUUUACUACUAAAUUAAUAUCUUAAUUUCUUUUCAGGUGAGACUAUGAAAAAUAUAUCUCUGCUCCUAUGACAUCUCUAUCUUUUUCUUCUUGAAAAAAAAAAAAAAAAAGUAAUUAAGAUCCAUUCAGACAACCUUGUUUUCCACGUGCUAAAAUCUAGAACCCCACAAGAGUUGGACAAUCAAUUUCUUUGCUCUUGCUUUACAAUUCAAAAACUACUAAUCAACCCCAUUUCUUUGGGUGUUAACUGGAAUGUAUUUGUCUACAAAUGAACUGAGUUUCCUCUCUUUUCUAACUGUGGCCCACCAAUGAAAGUUCAGCCAUCAAUUUUUUAAAAAAUUUCCCCUUUUUUUUUCCAUCCAAAUUAAGCAAUGGGCAUAAAUAAAACAAAAAGUUGGGUUUAGGUAACAUGUUUUGAACUGAUCAUUCAUGUUCUAUUUUUGACUCGAUUGACCUUUGCAAUUGCUAAGAAAAUAUCUACUGAUAAAUUGAUAACAAAACAAGAAAGAAAAUGAAAAACUUUGGACUCCAAAUUUAACGUAUAGUGCGACUUAGUUUGAAUCAUGACUUUAUGAGUUUGUAAUAUAAUUGUCAUUUAUCUAUGAUACAUGAAACUAAAAUAUGAAAUGAGAAAAAUAAAAAUACAACCCAAAAUCCCUUGAUUUAUAUGCAUAUUUCUUUUUUCUUUUUUGUUUUCCUUCGUAUCAAAAGGUGCUUAUUCCAGAUCAAAAGGCAGUGAUCAAUUUUCACAUAAUAACAAAGUAUUUGGCUGAAAAGUGAUGAGAACUCUAGAAUAUCUUUUUAGCUUGGAUCCCAUUUUCCUUUCCAUGCUAUUAUUGGGUUAUGUAACCUGCUGACAUUAAAAAGUCCAACAGAAUAAAAAAAAAAAAAAGGGCAACAUUCCAACCACUUAUUUGAAGAGGGUUUGAUUCUGGAAAAUAUAAAAAUUAAUUGGGGUGCAACUAAUACUCAUAAAAGAAAAACAUUUGCCAAUGACAUUUAACGUUAGGGUGGCUCUAUUUAUCAUUAAGUGUAUUUUAAACUCAAUACACUAAUGAAAUACCUGUUAUUUGAACUUUCAAAAAAUUUUCUUCGAUGUUCGAUUUCUUUUUUUGCCUCAACAUCUCUCUCCUCACAAACAAUCAGCAAUCCCUUUUCUUUUUUCCCAAUGCAGUCCCUCUUUUUAUUAAUGGUCUGAUCUGCUAAUGUUUUUAUUGGCUCAAUUUCUAAUCGCUUCUCUAAACCCCCUUUAAUAAUUUCCUUUUUUUUUUAUUCAUAAUUGUUUUGGCAACUAUGUUUAGAGUUUGAACAUCUUUUAACUGAUUGCCUUGUAGUUGAGAGUUCAAACUAAUUUAGUGAAUUUCUUUUAUCAACAUCUAAUAUAAAACAUCUAAAAGCUAAAUUUACGGAUUGACCCUGCAUGAGAAAAAUAAUGCUUACCGUUCAUGUACGUGUGUAUUCGAGUAUUGGAGCCUUCAACUUUGAAAAAAUUAAUUUCUAUUCCUUCAGAAUAAUUCUUAUUUCUCACCAAAAUGGACCUACUGAUGGAGACUGGUUUUAUGAAGUCUUCUUCCCAGAAGAAAAUCCUGAGCUUCCAAUCAAGCCAAGCACAACAAUUCUACUUGUUCAACUAAAACAGGAUAUUAGAUUGCACUUGGCCUGGAUAUUUUUGAACAGUCACUCGGCUUGUAGAUGCAUUGAACCUUCCUUUCACUACCUGUCUUGACAAAGGCAUUCAAGCCAAGUCUUACAACGACCCGUUCACCAGCUCAAGAUCAUGGGCGUAUAUAUUCACACAGAUGGAUUACAUAAUUCAAGAAGUUUUGGUGUCCAUUCUGAUAAAAUGAGAAGUCAAAGAUCACUAUUGAAUUUGACGUUCAUAUGAGAAUUUUCAAAGUCGAUAACAUGCUACAUUCCAUUUCGUGCAUCCAACUACCAGCACCUAUCAUGUGCUACUGCUUACCCACCAAAAUGACUUACAUGACAACGUAUUAAAGAAGAGAUUAACGAUUGAAACAUUGGAAAAAGAAUAAUAAUAAGGGGAGGAAAAAAAAUGGUAAAAACAGCUGAUUAUGUGACUAAGCGUGAAUUUCUACUCUUUUCUCUUUAAUACAUUUUUUUUGGUUUUCUUCCCUUCCUUGGGGAGAAGGUGGAGGUGUGGUUAGGUGGGAGAGGUAUGAACCUUCCUCCACUUCACCGGUAACUUCGGUAGGCAGGGCUGUACAUACAGCUUUCG
rnacentral:lncRNA from 1 species